rnacentral:rRNA from 1 species
AAUAUUGCACAAUGGGCGAAAGCCUGAUGCAGCAACGCCGCGUGAGGGAUGAAUGCCUUCGGGUUGUAAACCUCUUUUAGCAAGGACGAAGCGAAAGUGACGGUACUUGCAGAACAAGCGCCGGCUAACUACGUGCCAGCAGCCGCGGUAAUACGUAGGGCGCAAGCGUUAUCCGGAAUUAUUGGGCGUAAAGAGCUCGUAGGCGGUUUGUCACCUCUGCUGUGAAAUCCCGAGGCUCAACCUCGGGCCUGCAUUGGGUACGGGCAGACUAGAGUGUGGUAGAGGAGACUGGAAUUCCUGGUGUAGCGGUGAAAUGCUCGGAUAUCAGGAGGAACACCAACGGCGAAGGCAGGUCUCUGGGCCACCACUGACGCUGAGGAGCGAAAGCGUGGGGAGCAAACA